GAUGAACGCUGGCGGCGUGCCUAAUACAUGCAAGUCGAGCGAAUGGAUUAAGAGCUUACUCUUAUGAAGUUAGCGGCGGACGGGUGAGUAACACGUGGGUAACCUGCCCAUAAGACUGGGAUAACUCCGGGAAACCGGGGCUAAUACCGGAUAACAUUUUGAACCGCAUGGUUCGAAAUUGAAAGGCGGCUUCGGCUGUCACUUAUGGAUGGACCCGCGUCGCAUUAGGUAGUUGGUGAGGUAACGGCUCACCAAGGCAACGAUGCGGAGCCGACCUGAGAGGGUGAUCGGCCACACUGGGACUGGGACACGGCCCAGACUCCUACGGGAGGCAGCAGUAGGGAAUCUUCCGCAAUGGACGAAAGUCUGACGGAGCAACGCCGCGUGAGUGAUGAAGGCUUUCGGGUCGUAAAACUCUGUUGUUAGGGAAGAACAAGUGCUAGUUGAAUAAGCUGGCACCUUGACGGUACCUAACCAGAAAGCCACGGCUAACUACGUGCCAGCCGCCGCGGUAA
rnacentral:rRNA from 1 species